GCGCGAAUUCGCCCUUAGAGUUGAUUAUGGCUCAGGACGAACGCUGGCGGCGUGCCAUAAUACAUGCAAGUCGAACGAACUCUGGUAUUGAUUGGUGCUUGCAUCAUGAUUUACAUUUGAGUGAGUGGCGAACUGGUGAGUAACACGUGGGAAACCUGCCCAGAAGCGGGGGAUAACACCUGGAAACAGAUGCUAAUACCGCAUAACAACUUGGACCGCAUGGUCCGAGUUUGAAAGAUGGCUUCGGCUAUCACUUUUGGAUGGUCCCGCGGCGUAUUAGCUAGAUGGUGGGGUAACGGCUCACCAUGGCAAUGAUACGUAGCCGACCUGAGAGGGUAAUCGGCCACAUUGGGACUGAGACACGGCCCAAACUCCUACGGGAGGCAGCAGUAGGGAAUCUUCCACAAUGGACGAAAGUCUGAUGGAGCAACGCCGCGUGAGUGAAGAAGGGUUUCGGCUCGUAAAACUCCGUUGUUGAAGAAGAACAUAUCUGAGAGUAACUGUUCAGGUAUUGACGGUAUUUAACCAGAAAGCCACGGCUAACUACGUGCCAGCAGCCGCGGUAAUACGUAGGUGGCAAGCGUUGUCCGGAUUUAUUGGGCGUAAAGCGAGCGCGGGCGGUUUUUUAAGUCUGAUGUGAAAGCCUUCGGCUCAACCGAAGAAGUGCAUCGGAAACUGGGAAACUUGAGUGCAGAAGAGGACAGUGGAACUCCAUGUGUAGCGGUGAAAUGCGUAGAUAUAUGGAAGAACACCAGUGGCGAAGGCGGCUGUCUGGUCUGUAACUGACGCUGAGGCUCGAAAGUAUGGGUAGCAAACAGGAUUAGAUACACUGGUAGUCCAUACCGUAAACGAUGAAUGCUAAGUGUUGGAGGGUUUCCGCCCUUCAGUGCUGCAGCUAACGCAUUAAGCAUUCCGCCUGGGGAGUACGGCCGCUAAGGCUGAACUCAAAGAUGAAGAAAGGCGGAUCGUUAACCUGCAG
rnacentral:rRNA from 1 species